GAGUUUGAUCAUGGCUCAGAACGAACGCUGGCGGCGUGUUUAAGACAUGCAAGUCGAACGAGAUGACACCGGUAUUUAUAUUGGUUGACUCUAGUGGCGCACGGGUGAGUAACACGUGAACAACAUACCCUCGAGUGGGGGAUAGCCCGCCGAAAGGCGGAUUAAUACCCCAUGGUAUCUUCGGAUUAAAGAUGGCUUCGGCUGUCGCUUGAGGAUUGGUUCGCGCCCUAUCAGCUUGUUGGUGAGGUAACGGCUCACCAAGGCUACGACGGGUACCUGGUUUGAGAGGACGAUCAGGCACACUGGAACUGAGACACGGUCCAGACACCUACGGGUGGCAGCAGUCGAGAAUAAUUCACAAUGGGCGAAAGCCUGAUGGUGCAACGCCGCGUGGAGGAUGACGGUCUUCGGAUUGUAAACUCCUGUCAUCAGGGAGUAAGACCUGGGUGUUAAUAGCACACAGGGUUGAUAGUACCUGAAGAGGAAGGGACGGCUAACUUCGUGCCAGCAGCCGCGGUAAUACGAAGGUCCCAAGCGUUGUUCGGAUUCACUGGGCGUAAAGGGAGCGUAGGCUGUGCGGUAAGUCAGAUGUGAAAUCCCGGGGCUCAACCCCGGAACUGCAUCCGAUACUGCCGUACUAGAGUAUUGGAGAGGUAACAGGAAUUCACGGUGUAGCAGUGAAAUGCGUAGAUAUCGUGAGGAAGACCAAUGGCGAAAGCAUGUUACUGGACAAUCACUGACGCUGAGGCUCGAAAGCCAGGGUAGCGAAAGGGAUUAGAUACCCCUGUAGUCCUGGCAGUAAACGGUGCGCGCUUGGUGUGAAGGGGAUUCGACCCCCCUUGUGCCGGAGCUAACGCGUUAAGCGCGCCGCCUGGGAAGUACGGUCGCAGACUAAAACUCAAGAAAUUGACGGGGACCCGCACAGCGGUGGAGUAUGUGGCUUAAUUCGAUGCAACGCGAAGAACCCUUACCAAGGCUUGACAUGCAUCUCUAAAU
rnacentral:rRNA from 1 species